GACGAACGCUGGCGGCGUGCUUACACAUGCCAGUCGAACGGAAAGGCCCUGCUUUUGUGGGGUGCUCGAGUGGCGAACGGGUGAGUAACACGUGAGUAACCUGCCCUUGACUUUGGGAUAACUUCAGGAAACUGGGGCUAAUACCGGAUAGGAGCUCCUGCUGCGUGGUGGGGGUUGGAAAGUUUCGGCGGUUGGGGAUGGACUCGCGGCUUAUCAGCUUGUUGGUGGGGUAGUGGCUUACCAAGGCUUUGACGGGUAGCCGGCCUGAGAGGGUGACCGGCCACAUUGGGACUGAGAUACGGCCCAGACUCCUACGGGAGGCAGCAGUGGGGAAUAUUGCACAAUGGGCGGAAGCCUGAUGCAGCAACGCCGCGUGCGGGAUGACGGCCUUCGGGUUGUAAACCGCUUUCGCCUGUGACGAAGCGUGAGUGACGGUAAUGGGUAAAGAAGCACCGGCUAACUACGUG
rnacentral:rRNA from 1 species